UUCCAUCUGACGAGUCCCAAAUAGGAGGAAACGCACCUUGUCCUAGAU
rnacentral:hammerhead_ribozyme from 1 species